AGAGUUUGAUCCUGGCUCAGAUUGGUUUGAUCCUGGCUCAGAGUGAACGCUGGCGGCAGGCCUAACACAUGCAAGUCGAACGGCAGCGGGUAGGAAGCUUGCUUCCUAUGCCGGCGAGUGGCGGACGGGUGAGGAACACAUCGGAAUCUACUCCGUCGUGGGGCAUAACGUAGGGAAACUUACGCUAAUACCGCAUACGACCUAAGGGUGAAAGUGGGGGACCGCAAGGCCUCACGCGAUGGAAUGAGCCGAUGUCCGAUUAGCUAGUUGGCGGGGUAAAGGCCCACCAAGGCGACGAUCGGUAGCUGGUCUGAGAGGAUGAUCAGCCACACUGGGACAUGAGACACGGCCCAGACUCCUACGGGAGGCAGCAGUGGGGAAUAUUGGACAAUGGGCGAAAGCCUGAUCCAGCCAUGCCGCGUGGGUGAAGAAGGCCUUCGGGUUGUAAAGCCCUUUUGUUGGGGA
rnacentral:rRNA from 1 species